GACGAACGCUGGCGGCGUGCUUAACACAUGCAAGUCGAACGCUGAAGACCUGGCUUUUGUUGGGUUGGAUGAGUGGCGAACGGGUGAGUAACACGUGAGUAACCUGCCCUCUUCUUUGGGAUAACGCCCGGAAACGGGUGCUAAUACUGGAUAUUCACUGGCCUUCGCAUGGGGGUUGGUGGAAAGGUUUGUUCUGGUGGGGGAUGGGCUCGCGGCCUAUCAGCUUGUUGGUGGGGUGAUGGCCUACCAAGGCUUUGACAGGUAGCCGGCCUGAGAGGGUGACCGGUCACAUUGGGACUGAGAUACGGCCCAGACUCCUACGGGAGGCAGCAGUGGGGAAUAUUGCACAAUGGGCGAAAGCCUGAUGCAGCGACGCCGCGUGAGGGAUGGAGGCCUUCGGGUUGUAAACCUCUUUCGCUCAUGGUCAAGCCGCAACUGUGGGUUGUGGUGAGGGUAGUGGGUAAAGAAGCGCCGGCUAACUACGUG
rnacentral:rRNA from 1 species